rnacentral:misc_RNA from 1 species
GGGGAAGGAGGAAAGAAGAUAUCUUGGAAAGCUCCCAUUUUUUUCAUUUUAGCUGAAUUUUUCUCUCUAAGCUGCUGUUAACUUGCAGACCCUUUUGAAAUGGCAAAACACUCACAAGUACCAAAAUUUGGUGAGUGGGAAAGCGAUGAAGAUGUUCAAUAUACUACCUAUUUUGAGAAUGCUGCUAAGGGUAAGAAAGGAAGUAAAAUGAAUCCAAAUGAUCCUCAAUAUCUUGAGGCAAAAGUGAAAGGUGAAAAUGGAACAGAUACUGUACGACAGAAGCCGGAACGUAUUGCCAGCAGAGAUGAUGUAGAAUUGCGGAAAUCAACUGGCUCUCCAAUGCAUCCAGACACCAUGGGUCACAAAGUUCCAACUUACCCAUCUCCACAACGACAUGGUGCGAAAUAUGGAGGCAACAAGUCAGAAUCAGAAACAAUGAAGAGCACUGAAAUCCUAACACCAAGGCAUGAACGUCGGCCAAGCCGAGAAGAGGGUUACCUGAGGAAACCUACUGAUUCCCCGUUGCGCAAUGAGAACAUGGGGAGAAGAACUCCUAUGGAAUCACCUCAUCAUCGCUAUGGUGGCUUAAGUGGUGGUGCUACACCUAAGAGGGCCUCUCAGCAAAGUGUAGGACCUGAUCGCAGCAUUGAGCAUUCCCCGCUGCAUCCACAUUCCCAUGGAAGGCCUGGAGGCAAAGGUGGUGUUGUCUCCUCCCCCUCAUGGGAAAGGAAGGCUUCAUCUGAAGGUAGUCAUGGUCUGGCUCCUUCUACACCUGGAAGAUCCCGUUUGAGACCAGUUGCAAAAGGUGAUGACACGCCUGAUGACAGCCCUGCUGUUCCUAAAUUUGGUGACUGGGAUGAGAAUGAUCCUGCAUCAGCAGAAGGUUACACGCAAAUCUUUAACAAAGUGCGAGAGGAGAAGCAGACUGGUUCAGCAAAAGUACCUUCCUCAUCAACUGAUACAUCUUACUCCAACAGUCAAAAGCGAUAUGGAAAUGACAGUGGAAAGGGUUGUUUAUGUUUCCCAUGGGGUCGAAGUUGACAAUGCUGAGGAUGAGACAAACAAAAAAUGCAAAUGGGCAUGUACCCUAUUUUAAAACAUGAAACAUUGGUUAUGUAUAGAUUGUAGAUCUCUUUAGUAUAUAUGUUGUUCAUUGUGUGCUUUAGACUUUAAUAUUUUGCUUUACAAACCAGAAAAAAGAUUGAGAAAAGGGAAAGAAAAAAACAAAGAGAAAAAAAUUUUUCUUCAUAGAUGCAGAGAGCAGUAAAAGCAGAUUUCUAUAGUUUUUCAGGCUCUGCAAUAAUUGCCUUUAAUUCUUUGAGCUUAAGCCAAUGCAGCUUCAAUGAACUUUUAAUAAAAAUUAUAAAACUACACGCGAAAAGCCCUCGCAACAGUAAAACUUUUCAAUUAUUAUUAAACUCAAUUUAAAAUUGCAGAACAAUUACACAACUAUACAAAAAUGCCCUCAAAACCAACACACAGCUAAAAUCUAACUGACUUAUGCAUAGUCCAUUUCACACUUAUAUUUGCUUUGAACAAAACUCUAGAAACCUCUCACAAGUCUAACAACAUUUACAUGAUACCAUGCCAUAAUUUUGUCCCAUAAACCAUUUAGGAAAUUGAAGUAUAAAUGCCUCCAUCUUCUGUUAAACAUUAAAGGACCUACCACUGUCCAAAACCCCACUACAAAUCCAGGCGCAAUACUCACAUAGAAAUAGAACCAAGUGAAUGGUUCAGACCCUUUGUCGUCUUCUCCUCUUUCUGUCGCAAUGGGAGGCGUAGCAUCAUCAACACUACAAUUUUUGGUGAGUGGAGGCCCACAAAGUUUAUUGCCGCUGAAACUAGAUGGAUCAAAGCCUUGCAAUUGAGUGCCCGAAGGUAUCAUUCCUGAUAACUUAUUGUUGGAUAAAUUCAAUUUACUCAAAAAUGUCAAGCUUGACA